rnacentral:rRNA from 1 species
GUGGGGAAUAUUGGACAAUGGGGGGAACCCUGAUCCAGCCAUGCCGCGUGUGUGAAGAAGGCCUUUUGGUUGUAAAGCACUUUAAGCGAGGAGGAGGCUACCGAGAUUAAUACUCUUGGAUAGUGGACGUUACUCGCAGAAUAAGCACCGGCUAACUCUGUGCCAGCAGCCGCGGUAAUACAGAGGGUGCAAGCGUUAAUCGGAUUUACUGGGCGUAAAGCGCGCGUAGGUGGCCAAUUAAGUCAAAUGUGAAAUCCCCGAGCUUAACGUGGGAAUUGCAUUCGAUACUGGUUGGCUAGAGUAUGGGAGAGGAUGGUAGAAUUCCAGGUGUAGCGGUGAAAUGCGUAGAGAUCUGGAGGAAUACCGAUGGCGAAGGCAGCCAUCUGGCCUAAUACUGACACUGAGGUGCGAAAGCAUGGGGAGCAAACAGGAUUAGAUACCCCUGUAGUCC